CCUACGGGUGGCUGCAGUGGGGAAUAUUGCACAAUGGGGGGGACCCUGAUGCAGCAAAGCCGCGUGGGUGAAGAAGCACUCCGGUGCGUAAAGCCCUGUCAGCAGGGGAGAAAAUGACAGUACCUGACCACGAAGCCCCAGCUAACUACGUGCCAGCAGCCGCGGUAAUCCGGAGGGGGCAAGCGUUAUCCGGGUUUACUGGGGGUAAAGGGGGCGCAGGCGGUAUGGCAAGUCAGAUGGGAAAACCCAGGGCCCAACCCUGGGACUGCAUUUGAAACUGCCAUACUGGAGUGCCGGAGAGGUAAGCGGAAUGCCUAGUGUAGCGGUGAAAUGCGUAGAUAUUAGGAGGAACACCAGUGGCGAAGGCGGCUUACUGGACGGUAACUGACGCUGAGGCUCGAAAGCGUGGGGAGCAAACAGGAUUAGAUACCCGAGUAGUC
rnacentral:rRNA from 1 species